UACAGAGGUGGCAAGCGUUGUUCGGAUUCAUUGGGCGUAAAGGGUGCGUAGGCGGCGCGUUAAGUCGGAUGUGAAAUCUCGGAGCUUAACUCCGAAACUGCAUUCGAUACUGCCGUGCUUGAGGACUGGAGAGGAGACUGGAAUUUACGGUGUAGCGGUGAAAUGCGUAGAUAUCGUAAGGAAGACCAGUGGCGAAGGCGGGUCUCUGGACAGUUCCUGACACUGAGACACGAAGGCCAGGGGAGCAAACGGG
rnacentral:rRNA from 1 species